GAGUGGACUCCUACGGGAGGCAGCAGUGGGGAAUAUUGCGCAAUGGGGGCAACCCUGACGCAGCCAUGCCGCGUGAAUGAAGAAGGCCUUCGGGUUGUAAAGUUCUUUCGGUAUUGAGGAAGGUUGUUGUGUUAAUAGCACGACAAAUUGACGUUAAAUACAGAAGAAGCACCGGCUAACUCCGUGCCAGCAGCCGCGGUAAUACGGAGGGUGCGAGCGUUAAUCGGAAUAACUGGGCGUAAAGGGCACGCAGGCGGACUUUUAAGUGAGGUGUGAAAUCCCCGGGCUUAACCUGGGAAUUGCAUUUCAGACUGGGAGUCUAGAGUACUUUAGGGAGGGGUAGAAUUCCACGUGUAGCGGUGAAAUGCGUAGAGAUGUGGAGGAAUACCGAAGGCGAAGGCAGCCCCUUGGGAAUGUACUGACGCUCAUGUGCGAAAGCGUGGGGAGCAAACAGGAUUAGAUACCCUUGUAGUCCUGAGU
rnacentral:rRNA from 1 species